CGGACGGGUGAGUAACGCGUGGAUAACCUGCCUCACACUGGGGGAUAACAGUUAGAAAUGACUGCUAAUACCGCAUAAGCGCACAGUACCGCAUGGUACGGUGUGAAAAACUCCGGUGGUGUGAGAUGGAUCCGCGUCUGAUUAGCCAGUUGGCGGGGUAACGGCCCACCAAAGCGACGAUCAGUAGCCGACCUGAGAGGGUGACCGGCCACAUUGGGACUGAGGCACGGCCCAA
rnacentral:rRNA from 1 species